rnacentral:lncRNA from 10 species
UGAGUUAAAUUAUAUGUUUUAAAGUUAUACGUGCAUUUUUAAAAUGCAAAUAUGUGGCUGGGAGCCGUGGCUCCCGCCUGUAUCCCAGCUCUUUGGGAGGCUGAGGCAGGUGGAUCACUUGAGCCCAGGAGUUUGAGACUGGCCUGGGCAACAUAGGGAGACCCAUCUCUAUUAUUACAAAAAAAUUUGCAAAUAUUCGCUUAUGUGGUAUGCACUGUAAAUAAUUUUCCUUUUUAAAAUUGUGCUUUCUGCAAUGCAAACUUUUUGUUAUGUCAUUUUGUUACUGUGGUUAAAAAACAUGAAAUCUGGCCCUAAGCCAAAUUUCUGAAGCCCUCAUAUAAACUCUACACCCUGACCUCGUCAUUGUGUACAUUCACAGGUUGAACAUACCCAGGGAGAAAGAAAAUCCCUUAUCUCGCCGGUCCCAGGCUGGAGUGCAAGGGCACUAUCACAGUUCACUGGAGCUUCAACCUCCCAUGCUCAUGAAACCCUUCAGGCUCAAAAAAUCAUCUUGCCUCAGCCUCCCAAGAAACUGGGAGUACAUACUUGGCUAACUUUUUUUUUAUUUUAAGAGAUGAGCUCUCGCCACAUUUCCCAGACUGGUCUCCUGAGCUCAACCAAUCCCAUCUUGGCCUCCUAAAGUGCUUGGCUAACAAGUGUGAAUCACUGCACCCAGCCUGCUUGGCCUGCUCUGCCAUCUUGUAUACUUGAUUGAUUGAUUGAUUGAUUGACUGAUUGAGACAGAGUCUCACUCUUGUCACCCAGGCUGGAGUGCAGUGGUGAGAUCUCGGCUCACUUCAACCCCCACCUCCCAGGUCCAGCUGAUUCUCCUGCCUCAGCCUCCCAAGUAGCUAGGAUUACAGACACCAGCCACCACACCCGGCUAAUUUUUGUAUUUUUAGUAGAGACAGGGUUUCAUCAUAUUGGCUAGGCUGGUCUCAAACUCCUGACCUCAGGUGAUCCGCCCACCUCAGACUCCCAAAGUGCCGG